AUCCGCGCUCGCUUCGAACCUUUUCCUCGUCCAGGGUUACCGCACGGACCUCCCGAUUUUUUAAUACGCUCCUCGAAAUCGAACCAGUUUCCUAAACGCGACAAAUUACUCGACGCUUCUCUCUCAGUUACACCGAUCCUGUACCUCCGCGAAACCUGUACCCCCCGCUUCGACCACUUCGGAGAACCGUCGUUUCCUACGUGUCCUCGAUCGCGUAUCGCCGUCGACGAAGACGUCCCGCGUCGCGAACUAUUCCGCGUAACCGUCCACGCGAACUUCCGAGUCGCGAGUUUCGAAACUCGUCAAAAUCGAAGAACAAACGACUCGGUCGGGCGUCUCGGCAGGAUACAACGUUAAGACGAUAAGCGGAACCGUUAGUCGUCUUUCACGGAUUUUCUUCCGUUUCCUUGGAUACUUCUUUCGCGAACGAGAUACGACGAGGGAAGCGAGGUCACUAGAGGGCGGCGACCAAUGGGGACGAGGAGUCAAGCGGGGCGCGAAAAAUGGGCCGGACCGUUUCAAUCCACCCCCGAGGCUAAGGGUGAGGGUAAGAACGCCGACGGAGUAGGGUAGAGCGACGGGGCUCGGCUCGAAGACGACCGGGCCGUCGACGCAGGGUCAGUCGGGUCGCGGACCUGCACCUCUGCGUUUCCGUGUCUUUUGCCAUUUUACUCCACCCCGUUACGCUUUCGAGCUUCGUCGUCGCUUCUUCCGCCUUUGCCCUCUGCUCCUUUCCUUCCCGAGAACGAUUAUGUCACUGUUUCUUUCGUUCGCCUCCUCUCCGUCUAUGCGAAAUUAGGCAUCGACGCGACGAAACGAUAAAUCGAGCGAAAAAUCGAACGACGAGCGGUAAGCUCGAGCGCGAAAAGUAACGUUCAGGGAUGUUAGUCGCGCGCGAAAGAUCUUGUCCAACGACCUCGUCGAAUGUCCGGAAUGGUCAGCGAAUCCGUGGCUCGUAGAACGCGAAAGGGAUUCUGAAAUCGUUGAAUCUAGCAACGUUGACGGGCGUAGAAGCCGAACGGGGAACAGGGAAUAGGGAACAGGGGGAACGAGAAGGGGGCAGAAGAGAAGCGGGGUGGCUGGCGCCGUGUACAAGUGCAUAUCGGUGAAGGGGUGGUCGAACAAUGCGCUCGUUCAAUGCGCUCUAGAUAUGAUUACCGGAAACCAUCCCAUAAUUACUUUUUGUACGUCGAAAACGCAGCGAGCCCCCUCGUUUCGUUUCCCUCCCUUCGGCCCUGCUUCUCUUCACCGCUAAAACCACCGGCGGCCUUCUAUCUGUCUCUCUCCCCCUCCCUCUCCGCGUCGUUCCUUCUGUUGCCCCCCGUCGGUUCUUUUCCCCUCUUAGCACCGCUGCCCUCUUAAAACGUUCGCAACGCGCGGCCUUCUUCGCGUUUCAACCUGACACGCGCGAUGCUUUUAAAGUGCCAGCCAACGUUAACGCCACUCUCGAGAUGAUUUAUCGAAAUCGCUGCGUUCGCCGCAACCGUGUUUCGACCACCGCCACUCCCGCGCCCGAAUCUCUCUUCGAAAAAGCUACGCCGCCUCUCCACGAUCUCCGUUAAUCUCUUCCCCCUUCUCCUCCCCGUUUCACCGAGAGGCNUCGUAUCUCGCGGGAUAUCGCGCGCCGUGCCGACGAACGAUCGCAGGAUAUUUUGACCGAUUUCGACUUGUUCGGGACGGUGCGACACGGUGCGAACGAGCGUGCCUCUCUAGCGAGUUUUUUUACCAGAUUCGUGAGCAUGGAAUUAAUAAAAAGUUUCGCAAUCGAAACCGUACCGUUAGGAGAAUCGACGUCGAAGAGGUUCAGCGAGCGAAUCGGAUCAGGAAAGAGCAGAUAGGAGUAAGGUGCACGGGGUUAGGGGGAUGGCGAGGCGAGAACAUGGCAAAGGGGAGAAUCACUGUUCGCUCGGAGCGGUGGUUACGGUCGCGGUGACGCUGCCGGUGGUGGAGGCGGCUACAUUAUGAGUGUGUUCAUAUUUCCUGCGUUGCCUCCUUCCUUCCCUUAUCUGUCUUCCCUACCCUCCGAGCCCUUUUGUUCGCACUCUUUCGACUGUUAAUGCCGCGAAAUUAACUCCGGCAGGAGCGAGUUUAAGAACCGCUACAAGGUGGUAUAUAUACGUACUCCCGUUCCCAUUCCCGUUCCCGUUCUCUUUCCCGUUCCCGCCCCCGCCGCCGCCCCUGCUCUCGCUCCCGCUCCCGUUCCACGUCCAAAGAGCGCCCGAAGGCCGUCUUCAUUGUCCCGCCGGCGUAUUAUUUUAACAUUAUCUGCUACUCGACUGCCGCUUAAUUAAUUUAUUUAUGAGCCGAGGCGGACGACGAUGGCCAACGAUCGAAGGCCUAAAGGAAAAGAGUCGGAGACGCGCGAGGCGGAGGAUCGGCCAGACAAAGACGAGGGUGAGCGAGGGUGAAAGAGACGUAGGAAGCGAAAGAGAAAGGGAAAAGGAAAGGGAAAGGGAAAGGGAAAGGGAAAGGGAAAUGGAAAGGAGAGGAAACGGGAGAAAGAAUGGAAUGGUCCCGGUAGGAGAUUUGUCUCCAGAGGUUCAACGGUUCAACCCCUUGUCACGACGACGUUGGUCGAGUCGCGUCGACUCGACGCUUCUUCGACCGAACAAGGUAGCCCUAAUAACGCUUUCUCCUUUAUUGCCUCACCGCUUUAUCGCCAACCAAGGAAAUUACUCGUCAAAGGGUGGUCUCGAGUCAGGGAACGAUCAACGAGAAGCAACUUUGUCGCGCGUACGCCUAGCGCGGAGCGAGAGAAGAAAAGUUCUUUCGUGUUCGUUCGCUUAAAGGAGGCCAGUAGGGGAAGUUUUUCGAAACGCUUGGAAAUUAAUGCGCGAAAUCGGCCGAGUCGUUCUUUCCGAGAUCGAGCAAUAUAUCAAACGAUUCCCCCGAAGGGAGAAACCCCUACGGAAAGGGAGUGGAGCAUUUGCAUAGGGGAAAAGAUCGGACAGGCUGGUCAGUCGGCCGAUUCGAGAUCACCUGUCCCACGAUUAUCCGGGGUCAAGAUUACCAGUGGGACCACUUCCCCCGGAACGGGCCCCUGGCCCGAUCGUCUUCCGGACGUUCGAGUUUACGAUAAAUUAAUGGUUUUUCGGGGGGUCAACCUUCUCGACGGUCUUACCGGCCGGUCUCACGCGAGAAUUCAAAUCGCCAACUGUCCUCUAAUUAUUUAUGGUCGUUCGCUUCGCCUCGCCUCGACCGCUCGUUGGACAACCUCUGUCACGGACCUCCGCGUACGAUACUUGUCACGAUUUGCUCAGUCGCGUCGUACAACUAGCGAACGAUCAUUUAUCGAUUUGUCGCGAGUAUUAGACAUUUUCCAUGAGGAAUUCGCAAAAAUCCGCGUUCGAAAAGCUUCGUACAGUUUACACUGCUGUUCGAUUCGUAACCGUCGAACCGGACCCGGGUCGAACAAUGGCCGUGGGAUCGUUAACGACACCGUGUCAGCUCGGCAUCGUGAUUCUACAAAUCGAAAGAAGAAAAGGGAGAAAGCUUACGGGACGCAGGUGGGACGCUAAUGGUUUCGCGUCGAACGUCGGCUGACCGUUUAAACGCUUAAAGGCUCGCCAAACUGUUCCGUCGUUUCAUUAAUCUCCCGUGAAAUUUUCCCGUGUGUAAACAGCUUUAUUGACGGCUCGACCGAUUUUUCGGCCGAGAGUUCAGCGAAUCGCAAAAUUUGACGAAAGGGCCUGCUUUCGCGUUUACGACGAUCGACGAGCUUGUCAGUCGCAGAUGUCGAUUCCUUUUUGCGCGCGCGUUCUAACGGUUCUCCGCUAUUCACCGCUCGAGAACACGCUCGCGCGCAACCGUGAAACAACGAAUUAAUUGCGCGGAAACGAACUACCCGACUUUCGAUGACGCGCGAUGCGCUCGAGGAUGAAAACGCGCGAGCGCGUAGGAAGGGUGAUCGAAAGGCAUCUACUACGCGCAGGGACCGCAAAGAAAGGUACUACGAGGGUGGCGAGAGUCCCCUGGGGGACCUAUUGUCCGAAUACCCUGAUUAAAAACCCAUUCCCCGGUUACGCGCUUUAGAAACCCGCUCGAAUCGAAAAUUUGAGAGCACCGCGCGAUAUCGCGCGUACACCGAUUCGUUUAGUAGCGGUCGCGAGGGAACCGAAGAAACGCGUCGGCUUCGUCGUUCCGUCCCGCUCGCUUUCUUCUCCUCUCUCUUUCGGCGAAACUUUAAAAACCCGGUGCGACGGCCGUCGUGAAACUUUCAGACUAAAGAGGAGUAGGUCCGAUCGAGAGGAAUAGUCGCGUCGCUUCGAGCGAGAGUCCGCUCCGGCAAAGGGACAGAGUUCGGUGGAUAGUUGCCGGCGUUAAAAGCCACUCGGCGACGUAAUUAGCGAAGCGACGACGAUAACGGGGUCGUGACGAGGAGAGGCGGGGAGAAACGAGCAGAGACGAGACACCCCUCGUUCGCCAGAGAGGCCGAACACGACUGUUUUUCUGGUCCAUGAAUCUUUUAACCGGUUACGCCGCGUACGCCGAGUGGCGAGGGAAGCCCCUCGCGUGGAAAACGGUAAGCGGAUACAGUCGUUUGCCAUCUACCUGUUCACCUGUACGUUUUCUCGAGCACGCGAGUCGUUCGUCGACGAAGGGGACGCCGUCGAGAGUAACCGCUCGGAUCGGCGCCCCACCACGCAUGCCGAUAAAUCGAACGACACCAGGAAGGAUUCGAGCGUGACAGUGCGUAGCGAAUCGAACCGGUCGUCGCGUCGAAGAAGAUCGGUCGCGACGAACGAGCGGAGGACGCGUCGAAACGAGACCGAGAGCGGAUACCGUACGCGCAUCGGUACAUCGAGUUCAGCGGGGUUCGAUAAUCAUCGGAGAGGCUGACGGUCAGCGGUUCGGGGGCCUAUUCACGCGGCGUUGCGAGGCCUUUCACGGAUAUCAGGUUGCCCAUUAGCAACUAGAGAGGCUGUCCAGUAAUUACGGCUUAAUUAAUCCUCCGAGGCUCGUCUCCGACUCGACUGAUUAACGCGUGCCGCUCUCAAAGGAAGAGCCAGCAAUACGAUGACCUUCCGCGCCGAAAAUCCGCUACCGCGACCCGGCCUCGCUUCUCCUCUUUGCCCUCUCCCAUCCUCGACUCCUCCGCGUCUUUUACGGAUUUGCUCCGUGCACGACACCGACGAUCCGAUCGCCGCGUUUUCGUCCUCGAUUUUGCUUUCUCUCGUCCGAUACGAGUUCGACACCGAACGUUCGCGUACGUCGAGGAGAAAAAAACCGGUAAGAGACUCGGAUCGAACGAGCGAGUAGAAGAAGAAGAAGGAGGACAAAGAGGAAAAAGGAGAGAAGAAUAAAGGGUCCCUUUUAGUUUUUCGUACGACCGAGGAUAUAUACCGGCACGAUGACGAUGGCGGCCUUCCGAACGACCGAGAAAAGAUCCUGAAAGGUAAUUACUCCGUGCUAGGUGCAAACAAUAGACGUUCUACCCUUUGCUCCUCGUGAGAAACAAAAACCGCCCGUUAAGCCGAACGAAGGCCCGUUUCGUAUACCUGUUCGCGCGCUAACGGAUCCACCGGGGGCCAGUCGCUCCUCUACCUUUAACGUCUUACCCAACGAAUUACGCGAACGUUAAUCAACCGCGUACCCCGCGACGUUGUCCAGAAGCGAGAAGAGCGAUCGAAUCGUGAGCGAAUCGAGCGGAAGACGAGAAAACGCGAGACGAUUGAGCGGUUAAACGUUCGCGUCAACGUUUUCUCCCCGGCGAACGAGAACGGUGAAAACGGUUGCACGCUAACCACCCACGCGUUAAUCGUCAAUCCCGUUAGCGGCGCCGACAGGGCACCCUCCCGCGGCAAAGGAUCAUCCCUUAAUCCGUUCAUUCGCAUCCCUGCGGCUCUCUCGCGGUGCAACCGCGCGAACGGGGAGAGACGGCGCGCUACGAACGAGCGAUUUCGCGACUCGCACCCCGUGCCAAAACUCACCCUCCGCCGCCGCGACAACCGCAUCCAUCGCGACGGUUCCCUUUCCGUCUCUCUCGUUUCGUUCCGUUCCGAGCCCUUACCGUGACACUACCCUCCUCCUCCUCCUCGCUUUCCUUCUUUCUCGACGGCCGCGCCCGCGCUCGUUGUCUCCGCAUUUUCGUUCGGUCCUCUUUUUAUCCGCGCUCGAUACGCGGAAGCGCACGGCCGUACGCUCGCGCAUCCUGACAUCGACGAUACGCGUUAUUUACGCGAUGUCGCGCGCCCAUCCUCCGACCGAGCCGACUAUCCUCGGCCACCCACGAAUUUCUGCUGCGCGCGCUCCGAACUCCUCUCCGCUCGGCCGAGUUGCUCGCGAUCCUGGAGAGAAGACUCGCUGCUCCCCUUCCGGGAAAGUUGCGCACACGCGAGCGACCCGGUCCUGCGGGAUCCCUCGACCUGCGACCCGACCCGCCGGUACCGAUCCGUCCGAAAGAAUAGACGAAAAGCGAUACCAUAAUAAACACGUUUUACGGCGUCGACCGAUUCCCAAAGCCGCACGAGCCAGCCGGCGGAGAAUAGUCGCGAACGCGGAUAUGGCCGACGACGCAGGUAGGCUACCUUGUUCCUCCUUUUCUGGCUCGAGCGUUCCGUUUCGGUCUAGCCUAGGUAGCCCGGAUCGUUUGCUCCCGCUUCGGGUGCUUCGGGUCCUGGCGCGACGGGUAACGCGACGCACAAUGGAUAAAUGAGAUUUUUUGCGAGCGAUUGAGAUCCAAGAGCGGGUAGAGCCGAAUGAAGACGCGAGGUUGGGAGCGCCGAGGGAGCAUCGUUGUCUCCCCCGGGAAGGACAGAGAGCGUGCCGAUGAUAGGGUGCAUCCCUCGAGACCGAGGGCUCCAAGAAAGGGUUGACAGAGGAGGCUUUUAAUACUCGCGGUAUCGUCCUUGCAUCGUCGAUAAAACGCGUCCGCGAAAUUACCACGAGUUACGUCGCGUUUGCUCGCCGCGCGAAAUUUCGAGAGAUUCCGAACCGAACGGAAUCCGCGCCGCGAUCCUAGAGAAGCGACUACCUCGAAACAGUACCGUUAUAAAUGCGAGUCGGUCUCUGUUGCUCCCUGUUUCGAUUCUCCGUCCUGUUCUCUCCCGGUGGCGGCGCGACAGUGGCGGUUUCGAGUUAGCAAAUUGGCGAGCAGCGAGACACCGUGCUGGGACGAGAGCGGACAAGAAGCAACGAAAACGGUGCAAGGUUUCGACGCCGUAACUGCCGCGCGAGACUGGCGGACACGGCUAAUUAGGGGAAGCCAAGCCCUCGCGUCAUAGCAAGAUAAUUAAUUGAACCGUGGAUUAAUGUCGGAGGAUUAAUCUCUUCCUCUCCCCCGGAUCGAGCAACCGGAUUUUACUUGCCACGCUCCCGGUCCAACGAGCCCGUUACCGCUCGCGAUAAAUCCAUCGUUUCGAAGCGGGACAACAUUUUUAUCCGAUUUACCGAAUUACCGACGCGACGCGCCGAUUUCGAUUCGUCGAGAAGAGAGCCUUCUUUCGCUAUCGAAGGCUACAACACCGUUGCCGUAACAAGAGCCACGAACGCGAUCCUUGACACCGCGCACCGUCGGUGCUAUCGAUGAUGCUUAGCAACGCGGAAGCCAUUAGCCAUAUGGCAUACGCCGCGUCGCACCGCGCCGUGCCACGUUGCAUCGCGACUUGCCCUCUCUCGCGAGCGAACGCCUCUGUCCGUUCAUUGCCAGCCUAUCGAACCUCGCUAACCACGGAAUUACACUCGACUCGCGGAUAAACUCUUUCUCUCCGUCGGCGUAAUAGCUAUCGCGAUGAAUCCUGGCUCGUCUUCGUCUCGCGAACCGAUCGCGGCCGAAGAUCCCUGGAAACGAAACGAACGAAUCCGCCGCGUCGAAAGGCGUACGCGUCCGUUCGACGAGUCUCGCCGGCGAUCGCGAUCGCUUCCUCGUAUAAAUAUGCAACGCGUCACCCGUGGGUCAGCUCCGACUCGUACGCGACGCGACGAACGCGCUCGCGAACGUCGCCUCGCGCACGGGACAAACAUUGCCGGUUCGACGCGGCGCGCGCGUGUACACGCGUGUAUGUACGUUAAUCCUCCACAAUGGGAUCCUCUACAAUGGCCUUUGUCCGCCGUGCUCGCGGAAAGAAAUGAAAAACGAGGCUCUCCUCUAACCCUCUGCCCGCUCUUUUGCCCCCCGUCCUUCCUCCAUCUUUCUCCGUUCGUCCGGUCGCCUCUCGCAUCUCGUGUUUCUCUCUUCGAAUCUAACCUUUAGUUUCCACGCGCUCUUUGAUCGUAGCUCCGGCCGCGUCCAAAAGCGGAUCGUAAAAAUUCGAGGAAAACGCGUCGUUACGGACGAUCAAGUUGUCGAGUGGAAAAUUGAACGGGACUCGACUCGACGCCGACAAAAACUCUGCUCGUGGAUCUCGUUUAGAUUCCGCAACGUCACGCGACGAAGCUCGUCCGAAAAAGAGGUCGGUUUCCAGCGAGCUUCUUGUACUCGAUGUCGUCACGUCUCGACUCGGUCCAGAAGGUUCGACGACUUUUCGGACAUUCGAUCGGUAGCGAUUAUAGCGUCGCGCGAGCGGAAACUUCUUGAAGGCUUGGGCGUCGAACCGAGGCGCGUCGCACCGCGAAGCGACGGUUGCACGGCUCGACGAUCGUAUUAGCCGGUAACGGUGCCUAAUUCGCUGCAAAGCCGCUAAUCCGGCAGAAUUAAUCCGCCUCGGUCGGUUGCUUUUCAUCAAUGUGUCGUCGUUCGCGAAGCGCCGGGAGAGCGGUGGGACACGGCCAGCUUCGGCCCUUGAUUCUCCGCGGCCCCUGAUUCUCUCGACCAACCCCUCCAGCCUCCCUUCUCUCUUCCCCGAUCCUGUUUCGUUCUUGUCUCGUCUCUCUCUCUCUCUCUCUCUCUCUUCCCCUCUCUUUCUCUCUCCCGCAGCCUCUCUUUUAUAUUCGUCCGUCUUUGUCCGACUCGUCUGGCCCUGUUACGCGCGCCGAUCUCUGUCUCGGUUGCUCCGUCGAAGCAUCGACGACUCGGCUCGUUUACAGUGGGGCGUCAAGUUCGAAGCGAGUUUGCCGGAGCUCGGUCGGUCGCCUCUCGACAAGGAUGCGAGCCACUCGAAAACGUAGCGUAUUCUGCGCGGAAUGCCGCGGGAUCUGACAUAAUGCCCGUCUCCCCCGGCCUCUCCGCGCUCAACCUCAACCCUCCCCGGAAAGUCUGUUCGCGGUGAGUAGGACGCGAUGGUUGCUACGGCGAUGAGAGGACCGACGCGACGAGAAACGCCAUUCGAAUCCAUUCCCCAGCGAUCGGCUCUCGUUCGAGAUCUCCCGGCGUGCGCGAAGAUGCAUUAUUAAAAGCCGAACGAGUACUUUGUAACGAGUUACCCCCCAGCAUCCCCCUGCCUCUAACCACGAAUCGGCUUCCCGUCGCGCUUCGACGAACGCGAUUCCGCCGAAUCGCGACGCGGAAGCUCCGAAUGCUUCGCACCAACGCGCUUUCUCCCGCCGCGUCAGCCCGCUCGAUCCGUUCCUCGUUGCUUACAAAAUUUCCCUUUACCCGUUGCCGAACGCGAUUAAUCCCGGUGCGUUCGAUCUAAUCGAACGACGUAAUCUCUCCGAGCGUUGUUCGUUUCGAAUUUGUUCGUCUACGCGAGGAUUUGGAUAACGAUCGAGAGGGUUACGGAUCGGUGCGAGUUACGAGAACAAAAAAUGGGGUAGAUUUCCUCGACGCGUUCGUAAACCGUCGCGUCGCGCUCGAACGAGAAAACGUUGCGAUAAGAAUAUUAACGAACGGAAAGCGAUCGCGGAGGAACAGCGGAAGGGAGGGAAUAAUUCGAUUUUUCGAUCGGAGUGAAUGCCGCGGUGAUUGCCAUCGAGCGCGAAAUAGGAUUUACCGGAGAGGCGAGACUCGUAAGAUUUCGAGCGAUUCGUCGGAUUGAUAUUCCUGCCGCUCGUUCCGGCGACGCUGCUCGAUAAUGGCGUAUUGUUUUAUUAAUUUUAUCCGGAGAACAGUCGCCUUAAACUAUCCGGCGUCGCGGCUCGAACACGGCUGUUUCCGUCGCGCGAAAUUUCGCUCGGAUAUAAUCGACGCGAUUCAUCUCGUCCGAAACGCGUUUCGCUUCGCGAAAGGCCGCAAAGAAGAACGAUCCGAAAAGAACGGUUGGAAAGAGGGAGCGACGAUCGAUGAACGCGCCGUUUGAAAUUUUAUGCGAGUUCUGGUUCGUUCGGUCUCGCAUCGAUGAUCGUCCGUAUACCUAUAAAGUAUAAAGCGCGGCCGAAAGAAUAGGGUCGGGAACCGCGCGCGGUCACCGAGACUGGAAUUAAAAUCGACGACUACCCUCGUACGCGAGACUAGACCGCAGGUUGUUUCUCUAUUCUUCGGUAACCACGACCCCCCGUCCGCUUACUCUUCUGCCGGGCUUUUCGGUCGGUGUCGGUGGUCCGUAGUAGUCGCUUCUCGACGUCCCCCUUCCUGCGAAUUCAAAUUUUCCCGAAUUUCGUUUAAAACGUUUAUGAUCCGUGUCCGAGAAACGAGGGGUCGUCGACUGGAUCCCACGAGAGAGGUGUCUCGGCCCUAAGUUUGCGCAGCCGGACGAGUUUCGUGCGCGUACGAAGACGACCGACCGGAUCUGACCGGACCUCGUCGAGCCGGACAAGGAAAUCCAUCGACUUUCCCAUAUCCGUAUCCGACCACAUGCCUAAUAAAUAUCUCCCGGAUGGAAAUCGCGUUCCUUCCCUAUUAUUCUCGCUCGUCGGCCGGUGGCUUUACGAGCGCCGCGGUUCUCUCGAUGCACGGCCAGUCGAUGCGACGCGAUCAAAUUGAAGCGGAGCAAGGAACGGUGCCGACGCGAUUUAGAAAACGCACCGAUUUGUCCGGAACAACGCGCAAAUGCGUUGGAACAACGGAAAAUACUUUAAGUAAGAAACAAAUCGUCGAGACAGAACGAGAAACGUUUAGAGAAAGAUUGAAAGGCACGCGGCAGUUACGAUGGAGAUAUCGUUCGUAGUUGGAAAACGCGAUCGUCGACGGGGAACGGAACAAUCUGGAGCGUAAUUUCUAAAUCGCGAGGAGAAAAAACGAUCUUUGAUUCGUCGACUGUCGCGCAGCAGAUUACAAAAGACGUAAAAGGUAGAAGGCGAAAGGUAGCGGCGUUCGUUCCAGCUGGGGUCCACGGCUAAUGGCGUAUUGUAGAGGUAUAUAAUAUAAUGGCAGUUAGCACCCUACUGCGGUCUGUAGUGGGUGUGUUGUGACAUCGAGACCGGAACAAACAAACAUCGUGUCCAUUUUGGAAGGGUCCGGGACAAAGUGUCGGUGACCAGUGCCGAGACGACGGCAAGCUUGCGGGACGCGCGAGCCUCUUGCUCUCGACGACUCGCUGUUGCGAGAUCGAGAGCCAGUAGGGUGCCGUUAAAUAGGAGAACGAUGCACUCCCACGAUCGACGCGAUCCCAUUUUUCUCCCCCUUAACCGUGCUCCGUUCGGCUUUCUUCCGCGACAUUACCUCCUCUUUCCUUCGGUCCGUUGAAUCUUUCGGCCCGCACUCGCCGUUCUCGACGCGAUUCCAAACGAAACGUCGAUUCUCGAAUCGUCGAAAAAAUUUGCUAAACCCGUUUGCGAACUAACGGACUAACGGAAAGUCCGGAGGACCGAAAAGCGAGAAGGGACGGAAAACCGCUUCGAAGAAUCCAACCGUCGCGUCCGUGACCUCGGUGCUCCCGAUGACCGGGCACAAGCACGGAUUCCCGAGCUUUUCUUCGAACGAGGCGCGUGGCUCGUGUUCCCAGGCCCUGGAGUCGAAUCUAGCCCGAAUACGGGUUUGUUCUAGAAUCCACGAACGAAAUCGAGUUUCCUCUGCGGGCCCGUACGAUCCCACGAAACGCGAACAGACGACAAACGAGUUGUCGCGUACGGGACGGCCGGUCUCGAAAAACCACGGGAACUCGUUUUCUCUUAGCCAGUUUCCGUUUUGGUGACCCGUGUUACCUAGGAAGACAAACGCAUCAUCGAUAUUCCUGUUGGCCGAGUACGUAGUUCCAACCGUCGAAACGAUGCGACUCGCGAUCGAAAGGAUCGAGAGCAAGACGAACGGCGAAUGGCGUAACGAAACACCUUGCGGCGGUGGUAAAGCGUGGGCGAGACAAGUGGCGAAACGGCCGGUGGUUAAAAGCGAGCGAAACCGGCUGCGGUGGCAAACGCAGCCCCGAGCGGGAACCGAAACCCUGCCGGUGUCGUGGAUGGGUCCGAGUACCACUUUACCGAGCAGCAUGUGUUCCUGUCUCGGAUUUCACGUUCUCUCCUCUCCUCGCCCGUUUCGGCCGAGUCGACGCGAUACGCUUUUUGGCCGUCGACCCUCUCUACUCUGUACACUGUACCGGAUCGAAUCCGAUGCUCGCGAUUUUGUCGCGUGGAACAACGCGCUCGAGAAUCGUUAGCUCUUCUUCGUCCUAUUUCUUCUCGUCUAACGGCGAAAUUUCGAAACGAGCAAGUUUAAACGUUACCGCGAGCGGAAAGUUUUGUUCGUCCGUCGAACGCUAGAUCGAUCUACGCGAGUGACGCUUCGAACGUUUCCCGAGACUGGAAAGAUGCGGUCUCACGGGUAUUUGGCCGUCUCCCCCCUCUCGACGACCCGUCUCGAGUUCGAAAAGUCGAGAAUAUAAAUCACGAUAUUAGCCGUAGGAUCACGGUCCCCGAGGAAAAACGACCCCGCGAACGUCUACUCCGUUACCGACGAAGCUACGACCGUCCGUUUUUUCUCACAAUUAUCGAAACCGAAGGCUCGAAAAAAACUGGACCGUACUAAAGGGAACUAAAAGGAAAAAGAACGAUUUCGAAGUCGAACGCGAGUCGUUGCCUCGGAACGAGGGAAAUUAAUCGACGACUUUUUGAACGGCGAUCGCGUAAUAUGCAUAAGCGAACGCGUAAACGCAGGCAUAAACACGGAGAAUGGGUGGUAUAGAACGAAAGAACGGUCACCCCCGUGAAAGCCUCCCUCGGUUUGGAGGGACGGAGGAGCCUGUGGUCGCGCAGCUGUCCCAUGUCCAGAUGUCCGGUUUUCGGCCACGGGACGACGACUCACUGUGAGAAAACCAAUCCUCGGUUCUCGGCUCCCUUCUUUCGUUGCCUCUUUUCUUUGUCUUCGUUCACCCUCCUUCCUUCUUCGAGCCGUGUUCCCUCUUUCUCGUUCCGUUUCCUCGACGGAUCCCCAACGCACAUUAAUUACCCCGCUCGAAGACUAUCCUUCUGGAUUAUCCGAAAUUUAAUACGCCACCGUGCACCCCGCUGCGUUUCAUCGCGUUUCACCGCAGAACGUUUGUUUCGCACGCGAUCGAGACUCGAUUUUCCCGCUGACAACUUUCUUCCUUACCGAUAUACAAGUGACUCGAAUUCGAUCGUGUUUCGUUGCCGGUCUUCCCGUUCGCGUUCGCCGUUCGGUUUCGAGCUUGCCGCUCGAUGGAAUAAUUUACUCGUUGAAAGAACUCUUAUCGACCCGAGUUCUUUUUUUCGAUUCGGAUAACGAGUCACGCUGACUAGAGAAAAAUCUGAAACGCGUCCACCCGGACCGUUCUUCUUCUCGUUUUUUUUUUUCUCCUUCGGUUCCCUCUUCUCGCUUCGCUCUUCCACUCCCUACUUUUCCGAGACUAUCAACGACCAUCGCGGUAAACUUAAAGACGGUAAAGUCCGACUACCAGUUUAGAAACACGAGCGAUAUCAAUUUUAUCGAUGUCAUAAUUCAGUUGCUUAUCUCGACGCAGCCGCGCCACUACGAACGCCGGUAAGUACGGGGUGUCGAUAAAGUUCCAGACAGCGAGAUACGAAGCUCGUAUGCGAGUAAAAACCGAACUGGCAGCCGCUUCGGAGCUCUGUCCAGAUUACCACACGGAUCCGUUUCGGUUUUAUGCUCGUACGAAAAUUAACUUAAAAACGCUCGAAAGCAGACGGUCGAAGCGCGACAAAGAAACGACGAACCCUCGGAGAAGAACGGGUCCGACUGUAAAUGCGUGGCCGUCGAAGGUGUUCGGUAGGAGUGGUCGACUAUUAUUAAUAAAGCGUGCAUUAAAAGAAAGAUACGGACUCGAGAACACGGACAAUAGGUACGGGGGUGGCGCGGAAGCGUUCUCCGGCGCAAGGAGAACGAUCGUCGUAAAUCACCGAAGAGCGGCUUUCGAAGGAUUCUUCUUUUUUUCGCGGCCGCGAGUUCUCCUUCGAAUUCGUCUGCUCCGGCAAGUUGGAAGGCAACGCGUUUCCCUCGGAACGACCGGUCGACUAUUAAUUAGGGUACGUGACGCGGCAUAAUUAGGCGGUGCGUAAUCAGAUCGUCGAAUAGAAUUGAUAUACGUCUAGUUACGCCUAACGAUCCCCUUGGUGACAAUGCAUUAAGACGUCGCGCGUCACGAAGCUACCCCGCAACGUCGUUGUUCGCUUCGUACCGCGAUCGCAACCACGCGUCUAGCGAUUUUCGAUUUCUCGUUCGUUUCGGUCCGAGGAGAGCCCGGAAGACGAAGAGCAGCGACGCGAAUUGGCAAUUCGAAGGGCACUUACCACCCGGGCCAAUUCUCGCGCUGAUUAGUAAUAUUGUGGCCUGAUGAGCCGAGGGCUCGAGCCGUCGCGACGGUCGAGUAGGAGAUGAGACCGUAACCUCGUUACCGACCCGUGGGCGACUACCCCAACUAUAACGCUAUCCUCGGAACCAUAAAGUAGCGCGAGACGAACGCGUCAAGGCGAACGAACGAACGCACAAAGAGGGACGAACGGAUAGGCGCGUGGAUAGUCGAGAGAUUCGUCCCCCGCGAACUUGCACGACCCUUUGGGAUCGAAAUACGCGAUCGAAUUACGUAAUAACCGGUUGCUCCGCGACUCUGUUCGGUCGGAGGGAAAGUAGACGCGUAAACGCGAACAGCGGAAAUGUUUGCUCGUUGGCAGAGGCUCAUGCGUUUUUCGAGGGGCGUUCGUUAGCGGUUCGCGGUCGAGCGGGCACGGAUACGGGUGCGCGUGCUUCGCACCCCAUUCUCGGCAUUGGAAUCGUAGCAUCGUCCCGUCAUUGUCGAGGUAGGCGAACGCGACCGACACCGUGGGCGGUGCGUGAUUUCAGGGAGAAAGGUCACCGCGAGAAAUCGUCACGAUCGUUGGAUCGGAAAAUAAUGACCGGUGCGAGCGACUGCUCUAUUCAAUGACCGUGGAAGAGGAAGCGGGUACAAGGGUUGCGAUUGCGGUACGCCACCGCGCCAUCGGUUACGGAAGAGGUAGAAAAGGACGGGUGGUUAGCGCGUGGGGUGAGCCGCGACAAUGCUCUAAUCAAAUGUCACGAAUCAGCGCCAUUAUGCGCAUCUGCGGUAUGAAUUCGUAAAUACGCCUCGAGGCGUUCGCCUUUGCUCCCCGGUGAAUAUCCAUCGAGAGAUUUCCACGGGAAUCGUGGCUGUUCUCGCCCCAUCGAAUCCACCGUCGAAACGUCGAUACCGAUAUCGACUCGCUGCUGAUCGCGAACUUCUCCGCUUCAUCUUUUCUUAAGAUAUUUACCUAUCUAUCGUCGCGUGAAUAAUUGCGUUAAAAUAAACGAAAUAAAUACGCAAGUAUCGCCAUCUUUGAAUCGAUUAUACAAUUACUGAAAUGUGGUAUAUUCCCCAAUAUGACAAGAUACCGAGUUACUCUAAUAAGCAUGUACGAUAGUCGCGCUAUUUAUAGCCACGAUAAAGACCUUAACGUUUCGCUUGUACCUUGCGAUAGACUUUGGUUCGUCUAUGGCGCUGCUUCAAAGAUUCUCGAAAACGAUUCGUGACGCGCGUAAAUAACGAAAACGAGCGUAACGGACCGUGCGCAAGAGGAAAUUUUCAUCCGAGUCGUUAUCUGUUUCUCGCGCAAAAAAAAAUGAUGGCGUUAAAGUUACGCGAAGUUAGCAUCUUUUUCCGGCGUUCGCGUGGAAAAGAACGCGAAGCGGAGUCGGAGAAUGGCAACGUCGAUCGUCCGAGCGCGAGAGUUUGUCUGUGGUCGGUGCCUCGUAAAUCCCCUACGAAAACUCGAAAGCCGCGACGUAUCGCCGCGACGAAACGAUGCGGCAGGGAGGGAGGAAAAAAAAAGAAAGCGUUUCGACAUACCGGCGUAGAACUUUUCCGUUUUCGCAGAGACGUCGAGCGAAAAUAAUGCCGCGUUCUAAUCCCGAAAGCGGGAAUCCGAUUCGCGCGGCGAAACCGAGUUCCAUGUAGCGAGACUCGACUUCGUAGGGAGAGAGAAAAAAAAGCCCUUACGAAACGAAUCCAAACGGUACGAACACGAAAAUAGAGUCCCGACAACCACGCUGGCGCUCCGAAAAUUCGAAACGGAACGCGUUUCGAUCUCUCCUCCUACUUUUAUUCUCGGCUAGAAAUUUCGCGCUGUACGGUAACGAAAAUGUCCCGGUUAUUUUUACGAUGGCUUUUUAACAUAGCGACAACCGGACAAAUAAGGAAAUCGAAAUAUGCAGGGGAAUCGAUAACGACGUAGAAAAGGCGCGAAGAACGUUAAGGACGACACAGAAAUAGAUACCGGUUGCAUCGCGCCCGAUACGAACAUAAAUACGCUGUACGAGCGUGUGGAAUAAAAGCGCCGUUACCGAUUUUUCGUUCCACUCUUCCAGCGUAUCGGAAGACCUUACGACCCGUUUCGAUAACCUAAAAGUCAAGGGUACUCGUUCGCGCCAAAGUCCCGAGGCUUCGAUAAUCUUCGGCAACGGAGAGGGCAGACGCCGGCUGAGAGAAAACGAGACGAUCGAGCGCGCCGCGACGCUCCACGAAAGAAUAAUCAAGAGAGUUUUUGAAAUUUGAAAACCCGAAGAAGCGCGCGGUCUUCCCUGUGGUUUUGCUUGUACGAAGCGUGCGGGGCACGCGCGCGAAUACGACCGUUCAAAAACGAACCACCCGUUGCAUUAUCCGCUUCGUGGUCGUCGUGUUCUUUUGAUCUACCCCAUAAUUAAUCCGCGGAGGUAACCGGAGACGCGUAUGGGCGCACCGGGACCCACGGGGCCGGCUCAUUCAUCGACGAAACUCUGGACCGAGUCAUUGAAAGGGUAUCAACGGAGAAACGGAGAACGGGAGAACGAGCGAGCGACGAAAGGAGAAGAGGGGAAGCGCUGAUUAACAUUUUCAUCAGAGCCGAGUCACGUGCCGCGCGUUUUGUGUAUCUAACCGUAAUGAUCGCUGCGACGACGCGACGACAAAUAUCUAAUCGCGGGAAAUAACCGUUCGCCAUAAAUCCGUCGACGGAAAAACCCGAUCGCCUCGCGAACCGAUUCGUAAAUCGGCGCCAGCGCGUCCCUCGGAAUCGAGAGCCGUCGCCGCGCUUAAUGGAGUGGCGCGUAAUUUCGUAUUCGCGAGGAUCAUUAACGCGCCAGCUGCUUCCCUCUCUUUUCGACGCGUUCCUCGAACGCGUUCGUUCCAACUUUUGCGACGAAACGUGGAACGAUAAUCUUCGAUGCCAUCUGCCGAGCAUCGCGUCGAUACGAGCCUCUUAACAGCCGUUCUCGCGUUCGCUCGUUGGCUCGCGGCUCGAAGAAGGUCGUUUGUCGGAUCGCGAUCGACGCAUCCGCCACGGAGAUAUUUGCAUCGGUCGCAGCUGCAGCCGACCGGUAAUUUCGACUUUUUUACGAGGGAGGUCAAAGCGCGACCUGCCUCCUUUACCUGCCGUUGCCAGCCGAUCUCGUACGCCCAAACUUGUCCCCCUCUCUCGCUCUCUCUACGAUCAUCGAUCCCCUCGUUAGGAAACUUGGAAGCUGAAAACGAGUCGUGCGACGACGAACUUUGACGCUCGCCGAGCGAGUUUAAUCGUCGCGCGAGAAAGAAAUCGAGCCUUCGUUCGCGGAGAGUGCGAGCCGUUGCGCAACGGAGGAGAAAAGGUCGAGCGUACGCGACGCGUCGUAAAUGAACGCGAGAUUAGCGCGAAAACAUACGUACGAUUACGCGAUAUUUCGUCGGCUCGCAUUCUCGACCUCGUCUCGCUCGUUAUCCGCUUGACCCGUACGCGUUAUCUUCCUUUCUCUUCGCCGCUCGUCCUUGCCGAUUAGCUUUUGCCGAAAUUUGUUUACCGAACGCGGUCGAGUCACUCGAAUCGUUCUUAUUUUUCUUGUCGACCGGAGUAAACGGUCACGGUUUUCUCGGUGGCGAACGCUCGAUCUCGACCGAAUCGACUCGCUUCGCAAAAUCGAGGCAGCUCGUUGCGUAAGCGUCACGCGUUUUCGGUUCCGUAACGUCGUUUCGCUGGAAUAUUUGUCGCGAGGGGAGAACCGGCAAGUCCGUCGGUGUAGGUGGCGGUGAAAAGUGGAAAGGGCCCGAGGAGCAGGAGGUUCGACGAGAAAAAUCUCGAGUUUCCAGUUCGGGAAACGGUCGCGGCGCACGUGUUUCUAGCGUUAUCAUCGGCUAGUAAAUUGUGCCGAGACAGCUUAGAAUCCCCUUGACCCGCGUGACUCGAUGAAAAACAUCUGUCGCCGCUGGUGCGCCGAGAGCCGUUCGUCCUCGCGUAAAAAAAGAGCAGCUAUACGUUCGACUGGCUUCGCGAUUCGGACGAAACGGCACGGAACGAGCUUGGAAUCGCGAACGACGAACGGAGCGGAAGGACGACGAUUGUUCGAGGUGCACCGAGCGUAGGAACGAACGAAAAGGGUGAAGGUGGAUAAAUAGAGGGAAAACGGGAAAGGAAAAGAGUCGGAAAGGAAGGGUGAAGAAGGAGAAAGAAGAAGAAGGAAAGAUUGGUUGCGGCGGUGAGGCGGUGAGGCGGUGAGGCGGAGCAUGGAGGUGGCGAAGGCGGGGCGAGCCAAGUUUCAGAGGCGUGAUGUAUCGACGGAAUUUCAAAGUGGUCCGGGUUCUCCAACGUUUUUCCAGCAGUUCGUUUCGUCGAAAUAUCUCGUUAGGAAGGACGAGUUCCUCUUUUUCGGCCGCGAAACGCUCGAUCGGUCGCGUUAAACGCAAGAAAAUCACCGCGAACCUUCUUGCAGAACGAACAGAGACGAGAACGCGAUGCAUAAUCCAUCGGACGGGUCGAGAAAUCGAAGGCGAACGCGGCGUAGGGUGCGGACGGUUCGGACGAGGAACCGAAAGGAAGGAUGAGAAAGAGGAGGAGGAAGAAGCGGCGGAGGAGUAGGAGGAAGAAGAGAGAGUGUUCGGGUGUGGGGAAAGACGAGAGGACGAGAACCGCGAUCCAUCAAGGAGACGCGAGGGUUUGGGGUGAUGUAUCCGUGGAUAGGUUGACCUCUGCGCCGGACACUAUAAAAUCACCCUUAAACAUUCCUUCCUGAAGCGAUCGCGAGCUUUUAACGAAACGCUUCCCCUCGCUUUCGAAUUUUUUCGCGCUCGAACCGUUACUCGUCCACCGAACGAGAAAUUCGAUCCCGGUGAUUGGAUCGAUUUCAUCGCGGCACGGAAAAUCCGUACGGAAUGGAUACCGUCGCGGCGUAUUCGUCUCGCCGCGAUUCGAAAGCGCGGAGAAAAAAGCCGAUUCUGUACGCGAAACGAACGCGUCGAAACAUCGAACGGCGCUCCGUUGUAUCGUUCAUGUUUCAUCGAGAACCAUCCACCCUCCUGGAGGAGAAAUGUCACGGAACGUCGGAAAUUGGAAAGCUUAUUCAUAUUUUUUCGAUAGACGAUAAUACGUUCCCGACGACGGAUCAGCCACCUUCGUUCCGCGUGCGUUACGCCAGGACCGAACUGGAACGGGAAAAAGAACCUACGACGAAUACGAUCCCCGAAUACCACCGCGAGUCCGAGGUUCUUUCUUCAUUUUUCCACCGUUCCUUGCCAUUCGUUCCUGUCAUUCUUCCUGCUUUUACAACCGAGCGAAGGAGAACGAUCAAAUCGAAGCUGCAUUUUUAUCAGUAACGUUAAUAAUGUUUGUCUGCGAGACAAGAAAUCUGGAGAUCUUACAGCAAAAUAAGUCUAGUUCUUCGUUGCAACUUCACGCUUAUAUAAUUUGAAAUGUAUAGUACACAUGUUCAAAAUAUGUAAAAAUGUAAAAGCGAAGACACCUUGAACAUUAGUUGUUAUUGCAUUCUUGUUAUCAACGCGCAUUAGGAAACGAGAUAAACACGAAUCUCUAUAUACGAACUUAAAUAUUUCUAGAUAAGACGAAUGGGAGAAAACAAGACUGAUAGAGUUGCAUCCUAGAGAUACUGAAUUAAAAACUUCUAACUUGGACUUCGCUGGAGAAUUUUAAUUUUAUACGGUUAAAGUUCCAAGUCCAAAAAUGAAAUGACUCGAUGAGAAGUGUGUUAUUUUCUACUUGAUUAAAUAAUUACGAUAUUUUGCAAAAAUUUCUCUUCUCGAACACGUAGCUACCUUGCCUAUUGUAAUACAAAAAUAGAAUUUUUCAAGUCAGUGACACGUUUCGAAGUAGAGACAGGUUUCACGAUAAGAAAAGUGAAACAGAUUUUGUUCAGUUUUGGGCUAUUUUAUCGCGUUGUACGCGUCGCGGUGAACAACGAUAGGAAAAGAGGGUCGAAGGAAGGGAGGCCGAUCGCGAACGUGCGCGCACGGAGAACGGGCAUUGAAAAUUAGACAUACGUUUCAUUUCCUGAAGCGACCGUGAUUUCCGGCGUUGCUUCAAAUAUUGGAAAUAUCUAGCGCCGUUCAAUUUAACGCGAAUCCGAUUCGAUCCGAUUUCGCGGGGCUGGAAAAAUCACGAUUCGGCUAUCCUCGUCGGCUCGCCCGAUCGACUCCGUUCGAAUCGAGUUUCGUCGUCGUUUCGCGUAUCUCCUCUUUUUCCUCCGUUAUCGAUUCGUAUCGGUCGUGACGUAACGCGUUCCAGCGAUGACCCGAGGCGUUUAUCGAAGACACCGUUUCCGUUCGAACGAAACAAGAUGUUUUUCAUUUAACGUCCAAGCCAAGCGAGACGAAAGCAAAAAAACCACGACGAUGGCGAUUAAUCGUGAUUUUCUCUCGAUCAUCGCGAUACGAGCGUAGCUCGAACUUUCACGUUAGGAUUUUAGCCACACGCCUUUCGAAGACGCUCGAGCGUCGCGUACACUGCGAUGCGCGCCGUGUAGUCGAUGCUAAGGCGCCAAACGAAAUUCUCGCUUCGCGGCGUUCAACACGAAAGCUUACAGGCAUAAUCCUUUUAACCUUUUCACGCUGGACAAAAUUACUCGGUCGUAUCUCAUCGACCGAACAGGGAAUGAUUUCAGCGUUACAGGUGUUCGAAGAUUUUGAAAUUCGCAACGCUUAUUAAUUUCGUUCUUACCCGUACAGACGAAUCCGUGGAAAAAAUCAGGACGAGCACGAGCGGUAAACUGAUCGCGCGGCUACGAAAGCAGAAGCGAGACGUCACAUUCAGGCACUCGAGUAAAAGAGGUGCUCGAUCGGGCAGAGGAAGGCCGAAGAAGGGUGUCGGUGCGGAGGGUAGAGAAAUCGACGGUGCACUUUAUCGGUGCCAUAAAGACUAAUAUAAUCCGAGAAGGAAAAAGAGCGAGCGAAACGCGAUAGACCGAGCGACGGGUGUCGACGGGUGUUGACGGGCACGCGUUUUCGGGGGACGCAGCGCACUAGGCUGUUUUUUAGGCGGAGUGGCUUUUUGCGGACGACAGGGCAUUUAAGGGAAUUGCUCCCCAGCGCCUUACCGCGAAUCGACUCUCUCGCCCCGCUUCGGGGGAAAAAAUCGUUUCUCGACCUCGUCAUCGUCUCGGACUCGCCUCGCGAUCGAUUUUUCCACGCUUUUUCGAUCGCUGAAACCGACUCGCUCGAGAGGAGCGAGAAAACGUGAUUUCGCGAGAGGAGGUUCGACGUUAUCCGAAUGCACCGUUGGUCAGGAAAUUGGCAUCUUCGGGGCGAACCGGCACGCGAAUCUCGAUUCGUUUGGUAUCGGACAAAAGUCAGAGACGCGACCGCGAUCCCGCUCGUAAUCGCGAACGUCUCGUUGCGGAUUUCUCGCAAUUUUCACCCUUCCAUCGCGACGCGUCUCCCUCUCGUGAUCCGUUGGCUCCGACGCUGCCACCCCGAACGAAAAAGAGAGACACUCGCGCGACGCCCGACGCGCGAACGAGCCCUUAUCGCAAAUGACUGCUUCCGUCGAGUAGCGAGCCAUUUAGAGAGCGUAACGGCGUUGCGCUUCGCGCGGCGAUCGCAAGGCGAGUACCUAAUCCAGACGAUAAUGGCUUACCGCCGCGGCACAACCGAGCGACCGAACAAAGACGGCGGCCGGUCUUCCUUUGGGAACAAAAGCGUUUCGUGCUGGCUCGAUAACGCGCCGCCGAAUCUUCCUAUCCUCUCGACUAUUCUUCGCGGCUAGUCUAAACUUCGAGAGCUCAUCCGCUUCUUCCGAGAUAAUCGAAGCACCGCGUAUGCCUACGAUCCGCGGCCCACCUUUUCCGCCCGCGACGAUACGCGUCGUUAUCCGCGUUCCUCGUUUCUCGAUAUCCCGUUACCGAGUUCCGACCCUAGUCAGCAUCCAAAGCGACCGACACAACCCUAUCGAUUACGCGACUCGCAAACGAAUUCUCGCGUCUAACGAGUCGCUAGACCAAACUACUCGUCUACUCGUUACACCGAUCGCGUGCUUUGCUCCCGAUCUCUGCAAGGCCGACGCAAACACAAGCGAACAGACGUCAACGCGCGACUCGAAGAGGAUCGAUCCGACGCGAGAGUGGAUUGCGGUGGCGAUCAUAGUUUUAAUCGAAGCGGAUAGAGCGAUCAGCGAGUAGCGGUUAAACGGUGGGUGGCGACGGAGGUGGAGGCAGCAGUCCCCUUCGAGGGAACGUCCGUUCGACUAGGCGUCGAGGUCGAAGGGGUGUCUCGAGCACCGUAUAUACCCUUUCGUGGGAUUAUUCGGUGGGUAAUGUAUGGCAAACAUAAAUCACGGAAUACGGGACAGACGGACGACAUAGCUACGCGAAACUCUCCGUCGACGAUGAUCCGGCCGACGCGACGCGGUUCGGUUAAACUAAUUGCUGGUUGGAUGGUUAGCUGCUGGAACAUCGCGAAUUCGAUUCCUGCUCGCUCCUAUUUCUCUCUAUUUUAUUUCUCAGAUCGAGGGAAAAUUGUUUAUUCUCUAUGAAGUCCUACAACCACUUCAGAGGAGUUUAGAAUUUAUUUAUUUUACGUGAAUCUUUUUGUUUCAAUGCACAUGGAACUGUUCUUGAUUUUGUCCCGAUUAUCACAAUAAAUAAAUAAAUCUUUUAGUUACACGUGCAACUUGAAGUAUUUGUUCGCAGAAAGAAUCGAAGUUGUUCGAAGAGAAAAACGCGACAAGUUUCGAGGAAAUAAAAGUGCGCGGUUAGAUAGGUCGGGGGCGUAAUUCUAAUUACGCAAAGUAUCCCGUUACAGAUUUACGAGGUCUCCCGUACACGUGUACGGAUCACUCGCGCGCCCUUUCCACGCACGCAGUCCCGUGACUUUUCUCCCGUGGUUCGCCACUCCAUUUACAUAUGAAUUAAACUAUUACGCCCCAUACGGCAGUCGGCGUGCUAAACCGCUCUGCUACCGCUACCCUGCUAUUCCUCUCGACCUGUUCUCCGGCCCGUUACCCACGAUCUAUCACCGCCGAGCCGGAGACCGACACCGACACCGAUACCGAUACCGGACUCGAUCCACUUUUUUCCACUCUUUUUUCUUUCCUCGAUCCGAACCAAACGGAUCGACGCAGAAUCAUGGUCGAGCCUCGCGUAA